rnacentral:rRNA from 1 species
CCUACGGGAGACAGCAGUAGGGAAUAUUGCUCAAUGGGGGAAACCCUGAAGCAGCAACGCCGCGUGGAGGAUGAAGGUUUUCGGAUUGUAAACUCCUUUUGUUAGAGAAGAUAAUGACGGUAUCUAACGAAUAAGCACCGGCUAACUCCGUGCCAGCAGCCGCGGUAAUACGGAGGGUGCAAGCGUUACUCGGAAUCACUGGGCGUAAAGGGCGCGUAGGCGGGAUAGCAAGUCAGACGUGAAAUCCUAUGGCUUAACCAUAGAACUGCAUUUGAAACUGUUAUUCUAGAGUAUGGGAGAGGUAGGUGGAAUUCUUGGUGUAGGGGUAAAAUCCGUAGAGAUCAAGAGGAAUACUCAUUGCGAAGGCGACCUGCUAGAACAUAACUGACGCUGAUGCGCGAAAGCGUGGGGAGCAAACAGGAUUAGAUACCCCUGUAGUC